rnacentral:rRNA from 1 species
GUGGUAAUGCCGGAUGCUCCAGCUGAUCGCAUGGUCUGUCUGGGAAAGCCUUUGCGGCAUGGGAUGGGGUCGCGUCCUAUCAGCUUGAUGGCGGGGUAACGGCCCACCAUGGCUUCGACGGGUAGCCGGCCUGAGAGGGCGACCGGCCACAUUGGGACUGAGAUACGGCCCAGACUCCUACGGGAGGCAGCAGUGGGGAAUAUUGCACAAUGGGCGCAAGCCUGAUGCAGCGACGCCGCGUGAGGGAUGGAGGCCUUCGGGUUGUAAACCUCUUUUGUUAGGGAGCAAGGCAUUUUGUGUUGAGUGUACCUUUCGAAUAAGCACCGGCUAACUACGUGCCAGCAGCCGCGGUAAUACGUAGGGUGCAAGCGUUAUCCGGAAUUAUUGGGCGUAAAGGGCUCGUAGGCGGUUCGUCGCGUCCGGUGUGAAAGUCCAUCGCUUAACGGUGGAUCCGCGCCGGGUACGGGCGGGCUUGAGUGCGGUAGGGGAGACUGGAAUUCCCGGUGUAACGGUGGAAUGUGUAGAUA